rnacentral:rRNA from 1 species
UACGUAGGGCGCAAGCGUUGUCCGGAAUUAUUGGGCGUAAGGAGCUCGUAGGCGGUCUGUUGCGUCCGCUGUGAAAACUCGGGGCUUAACCCCGAGCCUGCAGUGGAUACGGGCAGACUAGAGGUAGGUAGGGGAGAAUGGAAUUCCCGGUGUAGCGGUGAAAUGCGCAGAUAUCGGGAGGAACACCGAUGGCGAAGGCGGUUCUCUGGGCCUUACCUGACGCUGAGGAGCGAAAGCGUGGGGAGCGAACAGG